AAGCCCAAACUUCCGUCCCUCCCAUUCUCCUCCUUACCCUUUUUAUUCUGAUCCACUUGGUCCACGGUGGCUUCACUCUCCAGCAUGCUCACCCCAUUGGGACCACAGAACCCACAGCCCCAAAAUUAGAAUCCUCAAUCAAAAAGAACAGAGCAUCUCUAUGUCUAUCUCAGUCCCUGAUAAAGGAUUCUGCUCAGUAGGAGGCCAAGCCUGGCCAGCCUGGAGCUCGUGCUCACCCCAGUGACUGAGAUUCUUGACCACCGGGCACACCAGGGCCAAGAGGAGCAGCUCUUAUAGGGAAAGAUGGUGGGCAAAUAAGUGCUCACAGCCAUUUCCUAUUAUUUACUCCAUUUUCUCUGGGUCCUAGGCUGAAGAGAUUCUUCAGGAAUACUUGAAGUCCAAGGAGUCUGUGACUGACGCAAUUCUUCAGACAGACCAGACUCUCUCAGAGAAGGAAAAGUUGAUUGAAGUGGAACGUGCGAAAGCGGAAGCAGCACAGGCUGCAACAAAAAUGCUGGAGGAAAUGCAAAUAAAGAAUCAGCAGAUGAUGGAACAAAAAGAAAAGAGUCAUCAGGAACACGUGAGGCAGCUGACGGAGGCGAUGGAGAAAGAAAGGGCGCAGCUGCGG